rnacentral:rRNA from 1 species
CCUACGGGUGGCUGCAGUGAGGAAUAUUGCACAAUGGGCGAAAGCCUGAUGCAGCGACGCCGCGUGGGUGAAGAAGGCCUUCGGGUCGUAAAGCCCUUUUCUGCGUGACGAGAGAAGGACGGUAGCGCAGGAAUAAGUCUCGGCUAACUACGUGCCAGCAGCCGCGGUAAGACGUAGGAGGCAAGCGUUAUCCGGAGUUACUGGGCGUAAAGCGCGUGUAGGCGGGUGGAUAAGUGGUUCGUGAAAUAUCCGGGCUAAACUCGGGUAGGUCGAAU